UACGUAGGGUCCAAGCGUUAUCCGGAAUUACUGGGCGUAAAGAGUUGCGUAGGUGGCAUAGUAAGCGAAUAGUAAAAUGACGGGGCUCAACCCCGUGUCUAUUAUUUGAACUGCUAAGCUAGAGGACGAGAGAGGUUAUUGGAAUUCCCAGUGUAGGAGUGAAAUCCGUAGAUAUUGGGAGGAACCCCGAUGGCGUAGUCAGAUAACUGGCUCGUUCCUGACACUAAGGCACGAAAGCGUGGGUAGCAAACGGG
rnacentral:rRNA from 1 species